rnacentral:lncRNA from 1 species
UCUCCUUCUCUCAUUAAUAUCUCCAUGUAUCUUCGAUGAUAUCACUGGCUUUCGCUCUCCGCCUCUCGACGCCUUUUUCUCAGGACCUCGGAUUCUACCUCCGCAUCCUUGACGACCUACUGCUCGCAUGCUAGCUGGAUCUUCAAUUGCUGCAGCUCGGUCGUCUUCUCCCCAAGGGCGAUAGAAAGCUCUUCUGCAGUUCUUCUCAGGGAUUGGAGUUCGCUGGAACCCCGAGAGGAAGCGAGCUGAGCCCUGCCAGCCAGCUGCCCUUGAAGGCGGGCAACCUCGUCGGUCACCAUCCAGAGCCUCCCCUUGUAUUCAUCCACCUGCUUGCGCCAGCCAGUCCGGUACGCUUCGUAGCUCGCCUCGGCAUCCUGGAGCUGCUGCUGGAGGUCGGAGACCUUCCUCGACCACUCCCGAUCACUGUCGGCCCGAGUCAAAAGUCGGGAUGAGCUUCCCUCCAGCUGGCCAAUCCUCUCCC